GUAUAUAUAAUUUAAAUAAAAUAUUAAACUGUGACUUUAAUUAUGAGAGUUANAACNNUCCGGUAUAAACCGAGAAGAA
rnacentral:tRNA from 1 species